UCACCUGGGGAUCUUGUUAAAAUGCAAAUUUUGAUUCAGCAGGGCUGGAAAGGAGCUGAGAUUCUGCAUUUCUAACAAACUCCCAGGUGAUGCUACU
rnacentral:pre_miRNA from 1 species